AUUUAUUUAUUUACCUUUAUUUAGGAGUAGGUGAAAAAUAGAGAGAGGAUUUUGGAGAGAAAAAUAGCCAUGCGAGGCUCACAAUUGUUGUUUCUUAAGAUCUAGACACCGCAGGCUUAUUUUCCCUCAAAUCCCUUCAUCCAUUUGCCACACUUCCCAAACAGAGCCUUAAAGAUGGACAUGAAUUAAGUUAAUCGAAGAAGUUUGGUGCCCUGGUUUCUUUUAUCAUGGACAAUCCGAGGGCUCCCAAAAGUUGAGUUGCUGACAAUGGCUUCCAAAUUUAGAUUCUUCCCUACACAUCUGGGCAUAUUCAGAGUUCAGUUCUCAAACUUUAAUCAAGGAUAGGUAACAUGUGCCACUAUAGGACUUCUCACUUGAUGCAACCCAUCAUCCCAAACCAAAGAACCAGAGAUCAUAGUUUUGAUCAUUGUAGCUUCUACUGUCACAACAAAAGAUUGUUUCUGCCCAAGGGACUGGAAGGAAAGAACACUUGGUUGAACCUGAAUUUUAAGUCCUGCUGGUGCAUUUAUAAUUGCCUUCAACAGAAAGAGCCCAAGGUGAAAAGUUUAAGACACUUUCAGAUCGAGGACCUGAAUUACCAGCAGAAUUGGAUGUGAGAAUACCAUUCUUCAUUGAAUGGAAAGCUCCAAUGGCAAUUGAAUCUUGAAAAUAGUCCAGAGGCCACCCUCCUACUGAAAGAGAUAUUACAUCAACUCCAUCAGCAAUAGCAUCAUCAAAUGCUGCAAGAAUGUCAGCAUCUGAACAGCCAUCAGACCAACAUAUCUUGUACACAGCUAUACGGGCAGAGGGAAGGCCUCCUCGAGCAGUCCCUGAAGCAACGCCUAGUAAGCUUGCAUGGCUAACUACGUCCCCUGCCGCUGUUGAUGCAGUGUGGGUCCCAUGGCCUUCUGAAUCUCUUGGUGAAGCAAUUUCUCCUGGACCUACUUCUCCUUCGCUGUGGUAGUAUCGAGCUCCAAUUACUUUGCUACGAACACAUAAAAAUUUCAAAAGGUGUGCCAUGGCAGCUAAUAACAAGACUACAGGUGAGGCUUAUAAUAAGGAGAAGCCUUGGAUGUGGGCAAUUUUGGCUUGCCAUUUGAGCAAGUGCCCUGAGACUGGGAGCUGGGAGUUUCUUGCUACUAAUUUCUAUGCAAAUGUCAAACUAGAGCAUGGCUUUUAUAGAGGUAAAAAAAGCACAAUCAUUCGACUUUCCCUCUACAGUGAGUUCUGAAACCAUUGGUAAACCCGUCAACAGCGGAAGUCCUUCCAAGGCCGGCCAAUUUCCUCCUGGAUACUGCUAGCCAUCACUGGACAUAAAAAACAGGCCAAAAAAAAUUCUUUUCCAGACAAUAUGUUUUGAAAAAAAAGAUGAACAUGUCGGAUUAUUUUUGUUGUGUAUUAUGUCUGUACCAAUGACUUGAUUUCAAGCUCUUGGCUUAUGGAUUCCCUUUCCCUGAACAAUUGUAACUAAAAAAUAAUGUAGGAUCUGUUUGGCAUUAAUGUUGAAGUCGUCGUUGUUGGGAAAA